UCUGCUGUAUGCUAAACCUGAUGUAGUGUGAUAAUGUAAUUUUCUCCUGUAGUCUCUGCUUCCCCCAGUCAGACUGAGAUGGAGGCAGACAGUAAUGUGACUCUCCACUGCAUCCUGCACGCAUCUAACCACGAUGGAGAUGAAUUUAUUCUGAGCUGGGUGGAUGACACAGGGAAAGAGCUGCAGAACAAUAGCUAUCGACAGAUCAGAACCUCAUCUCCCAUUUCUAUCACACUGACUGAGGAGCUCAGAGGUCCAAACCCUGUUCAUACUCGGACAUGCCAGGUGACUUCAGGAGGACAGGUUCAGACUUCUGUCUCCCACACCAUCAGAGUGAAAGUGGUCCAUAUGGCUGUUAAAGUUGCUACCACUAUCAGUCUGUUUGUGGCUGUGAUCAUAGUUGAAGUAAUUUGCAGGAUGAGAUCAGGUGAUCCCCAUGGCGAACCGAACACCUCUGUGAGUAAAACACACAUAUACUGUACGCAUUUCAACAUUAGUUUGUAAAACUAUAAAUGUGGUGUUCUCUUUCUUUUCCCUAAGGCUCGUAGGGUUCACUCUGCUGCAACCAGUGACUCCUUGUAGCCUUGUAUUCCUUGUGGGCUCUUGAGACGCAACUGGUGCCAGACUCUUCAUCACCUAAAUCAACCUUCAUCACCUGCACUGGAGCUACAGGAUACCAGGCUAGCAGGCUGCAGUGAUACUAUACCUGCUUUAAGGUGGCAUCAAUGUUCAACUUCAAGACGUCUCAAACCUCAAUGAGGUUUUUUUUUAAAUUAUCUUACAUUAACCGUGUGCUGGUUUGGCUCUGACUGGUUCGCUUAGCAGUACUUUUAUGAGGGAGAUUUGGGAUCAUUUUGUGUUUUACAAUAAUCAAUGUGCUAUUGUGCUUAGUUGAGAGUUUUCUUUUUCAUGUGUGUAAGUUUGAAAUGCUCUCCUUUUUCUGUCCCUGAGUUUUUAUGAAUGUAUCAUACCUUAUGGUGUGGACAUGAAAUCCUUCUAUAGAGUUAAGUGAGGAAUAUAUUAGCAGAGCUUUGGAUUUGUUACUUUUACCUUGUAUUGCUUGUAACUUUCCCCGGUGCCGUGAAUAAAGCUGCAGUCUCACACCGUUGUUGCCUGAAA
rnacentral:lncRNA from 1 species